rnacentral:lncRNA from 1 species
CUUUAAUGGACAUUCCGGACACCAUAACAACGGUACCUCAAUGGAGUUGUUACAGUGCUAGUAGGCACCAGGCACUACGUUAAACUGUUAACAAAUGGCUUAACUCCAAAGUCUGCAAGCUGAUGUCCAAUUGCUCUACCCCUGUACUUCCUCUGAAUGUCUGAGGCUUUAAAUCAGAAAGCCUUGCAGUGGAUGCGGUUAUGCUAAGAGCAUUAGCUCCCAAUUCAGAAAAAGUGAGUGAAAGAUACACUCUCAGUCUAUCAGUGAAACCUGGUCCGAGGCUUCCUGAUUGUAACAUCGAACAUGGAGAGGCAGUGAAAUUACAUGCAAUUAGACAUUGACUUGCAGACUUAGGGGUUAAGCCACUUGAUAAUGGUUUAGUCUGGGGCUUAUUUGCAAAGAUGUUGUUAUGGUUCCUGGAUUGGUAAAAAAAAAAAUGUAAUUAAAAAAAAUCUACGGAUGACAAGGGUAUAAAGAAAAAUCAGGUGGAUCUGUCCAUUUAAAUGUCACAUUACUCAGUUCACACUAACAUUGCAUUUUCUUUCAUUCACAAACUAGAUUAGUCCCUGACAUUUACUCUGAGUGUACAAUAAUCCAGAUUUAAAAAGGGAGUAUCUGGGAGUGAUGUUAACCCUUUGAUGUGUCACAGGGACAUCCAUUACAAUAUUAAUGCUUGCUUUCUUUCCCACACAGGCUAAUCACUGCUUAAUUAAAGCACAUUGUAGGAGAGGCUCAGAAGAGAAUUGGAUCUACCUUGUGCUAUCUGGGAAUUACUCCAUAUUCGCAGCUUGUAAGAGUCACUGCAAAGUUUUCUGGGAGCCAUGACCACACAACACGCCACUUAAAUGCUCCUGACAGAGUAAAUGACAUCUGAUCAGCACAUUGAGAAAGUAGUUUCGAAGAUGGACCUUAGAACAUUUUCUUCAUUGGUGCAUAUGCAUUUAUGUGAAUUAGAAAUCCUAUUUAAUGCACCUUGUGGCAAACCUAGCCACUUCAGUAUAUCAAAGACUGGGUCCAUGUGUUAAUUUUAUACUCCAAAAGACUGAGGGCAUUCGUAUGCUAGUUUCACGAACAAAUGUGGAAUAUACUGUUCGUGAAACGAAUGAACAACCGAACGAGAGACCACACAGGGGAGUCGUGUGUCUCCAAUUAACAAACUGACAACAUUUUUAACCGCAGAACAUUAAUGGUUUUAUGUGCGGUCGCCACACGUGGCGGCGGCCAUCUUUGCUUAUGAACGCCCAGCGGUGUUUGGUAUUUGAGUGCCUGGAACUAAAAUCAGCUACUCGACUUUGCGAACACUGCUGGACUUCCAUGCCGUUCGUAUGAUUAUAUCCAUUCGUAAAAAUAGAGCGGCGUUUGAUGGAUUAAACUCCACGAACCCUAUUCAAACAGUCAGCAUCUAACUAUGUAAUUUCAAUGGGUGUUCAUAUGAACCUCUUCAUUCGAAUGGCUUUCCUAUUCUAACGAAUGGAUCUAAGCGGUAUUUCGCCAGAUGGUGCGCUCAGAUCCCAGCCAUUCAAUGAAGGGUCAUUCGGCCAAUUCAGUGUAAAAUUGUACAAGUUAUGGAUUUUUAUGUUAAAUGUUAUAUUUUUCUGUACGGAGAGAAUGUAAUUAACAGUAUACUCUUACGCAAUUAUCUCUCCAGUACAGAAAAGCAUGAUGGGAAAUAACAUUGCAGGUUAAGUUUUCCCACAGAGGCCACCAGGGGAAAACCCCUUGCAUGGGGACUUGUAUAUAAACGGUUGCAUUGGAAUGAAAGCUCAGUUGACUCCAAAACUAUGUGUUGUCUACUAUUUGGGAAAAAGGGAUUGUAUUUACGCUGCAAAAUUAAAGUGCGCUGUGCCUUUAAGACUCAAAACAGUGAAAAUAAUUUGUGCA